GCCCCUGUAGAUCAUGGUGAUCACCGGCGAGAAAUGGCACUCUGAUUCACAACUUACGCAGGUGUUGUUGCGGGUUCGACUCCCACCAGGGGCA